rnacentral:rRNA from 1 species
AAAAACCAAAUCGCCCUUCGGGGCUUUUUGGUGAUUCAUGAUAACUUUACGGAUCGCAUAGCCUUGCGCUGGCGACGGUUCAUUCAAAUUUCUGCCCUAUCAACUUUCGAUGGUAAGGUAUUGGCUUACCAUGGUUUCAACGGGUAACGGGGAAUUAGGGUUCGAUUCCGGAGAGGGAGCCUGAGAAACGGCUACCACAUCCAAGGAAGGCAGCAGGCGCGCAAAUUACCCAAUCCCGACACGGGGAGGUAGUGACAAUAAAUACUGAUACAGGGCUCUUUUGGGUCUUGUAAUUGGAAUGAGUACAAUUUAAACCUCUUAACGAGGAACAAUUGGAGGGCAAGUCUGGUGCUCAGCAGCCGCGGUAAUUCCAGCUCCCAAUAGCGUAUAUUAAAGUUUGUUGCAGUUAAAAAGCUCGUAGUUGAAACUUGGGUCUGGCUGGCGGGUCCCGCCUCACCGCGUGCACUCGUCCGGCCGGGCCUUCCUUCUGAAGAACCUCAUGCCCUUCACUGGGCGUGUUGGGGAAUCAGGACUUUUACUUUGAAAAAAUUAGAGUGUUCAAAGCAGGCCUUUGCUCGAAUACGUUAGCAUGGAAUAAUAAAAUAGGGCGUGCGUUUCUAUUUUGUUGGUUUCUAGAGACGCCGCAAUGAUUAACAGGAACAGUCGGGGGCAUCAGUAUUCAGUUGUCAGAGGUGAAAUUCUUGGAUUUACUGAAGACUAACUACUGCGAAAGCAUUUGCCAAGGAUGUUUUCAUUAAUCAGUGAACGAAAGUUAGGGGAUCGAAGACGUAUCCA